rnacentral:rRNA from 1 species
UACGUAGGGUGCAAGCGUUGUCCGGAAUUAUUGGGCGUAAAGAGCUUGUAGGCGGUUUGUCGCGUCUGCUGUGAAAUUUCGGGGCUCAACCCCGAACUUGCAGUGGGUACGGGGCAGACUAGAGUGUGGUAGGGGGAGACUGGAAUUCCUGGUGUAGCGGUGAAAUGCGCAGAUAUCAGGAGGAACACCGAUGGCGAAGGCAGGUCUCUGGGCCACUACUGACGCUGAGAAGCGAAAGCAUGGGGAGCGAACAGG